AUCGCGGUCCUUCCCCAGCCCCGGAGCCCCCGGGGUCCGGAAACUCGCGGGGGCUGGGCCGGCGGCCCCGGGCGUCCAACUGACAGCCGGGGUCUCCCUCCAGGACCGCCGCCUCCGAGCCUGCGCGGCUAUGUGGAUGGGGCCCGAGGGGGCGUCAGGAAGGAGGGUAGAGGGACAGGGCGUCUUUUCUUUUCUGUUUUCACUGUUGAGCACCUUUCUGCCAGGUAGGAGCGUGAGAACUAGAGAAGAAGAGAUGGCCGGUCCACUGCCCUCCGCACUACAGCUCCGUAUCUGGGGUGACACCCCCCUCCUCCUCCACACACUGAGACGAUGCAAAUUCUCAUUCCUGGUGCACUGUUGUGGCCAGAUGCAGAACUACUCUUUGGUUAACAAGGGGACGCCGGGUGAAGGUGCCCAGGCCUCUGUCCUCGCCCCCGCCCAUCGGCCGCACCCCAAUAAAAAAAAGCCACGGCUUAUUGCCGGCGCCUGGCUCAGUAAGGCCCACAGCUGUGUUCAGGGUGGCUGGCUCGGAACUGAUCUAAGCGGACUCUAUCGGCUGCUUUUCUUCUGCUCAACAACAGAGCUACACCAACCUCAACUUCGUUUUCCAGAACCUACGACUUUAGCCCCACCCCCUGCCCCGCCUUAGCAGACACGCAGAGAUUGCCUGCUCUCCGCAUUGGAACACGGGGUACAAAACAGAGAAAACCCUGCCCUAUAGUGUAGUCAGGCGGUAGUCACGGUGGAAAGCUGAAGUUCUUAUCCAGAUUGGGUAUGUUGGUAACUUCUCCCGUGAACUCACCAUACUUCAGGGAUCCUUCUUUACCUAAGCUGCGCACUUGCCGUGUGGUUUAGGGGAGAGGCAGAGUGGGGUGCACGGGCCUCCCGGCAUCCCCUCCGGGGUGGAAAAGUGCCUGUCCUGCCCAUCUUCCAGCGUACAUCUCCCUCAUUUCACACACCACCAUUUCACGGAG